rnacentral:rRNA from 1 species
AUUGAACGCUGGCGGCAGGCCUAACACAUGCAAGUCGAGCGGAUGAAGGGAGCUUGCUCCUGGAUUCAGCGGCGGACGGGUGAGUAAUGCCUAGGAAUCCGCCUGGUAGUGGGGGAUAACGUCCGGAAACGGGCGCUAAUACCGCAUACGUCCUGAGGGAGAAAGUGGGGGAUCUUCGGACCUCACGCUAUCAGAUGAGCCUAGGUCGGAUUAGCUAGUUGGUGGGGUAAAGGCCUACCAAGGCGACGAUCCGUAACUGGUCUGAGAGGAUGAUCAGUCACACUGGAACUGAGACACGGUCCAGACUCCUACGGGAGGCAGCAGUGGGGAAUAUUGGACAAUGGGCGAAAGCCUGAUCCAGCCAUGCCGCGUGUGUGAAGAAGGUCUUCGGAUUGUAAAGCACUUUAAGUUGGGAGGAAGGGCAGUAAGUUAAUACCUUGCUGUUUUGACGUUACCAACAGAAUAAGCACCGGCUAACUUCGUGCCAGCAGCCGCGGUAAUACGAAGGGUGCAAGCGUUAAUCGGAAUUACUGGGCGUAAAGCGCGCGUAGGUGGUUCAGCAAGUUGGAUGUGAAAUCCCCGGGCUCAACCUGGGAACUGCAUCCAAAACUACUGAGCUAGAGUACGGUAGAGGGUGGUGGAAUUUCCUGUGUAGCGGUGAAAUGCGUAGAUAUAGGAAGGAACACCAGUGGCGAAGGCGACCACCUGGACUGAUACUGACACUGAGGUGCGAAAGCGUGGGGAGCAAACAGG